rnacentral:lncRNA from 1 species
GUCAGGGGUGCCUGUUUUCCCCUACUCUGUAUCCAGCAUUUAACUGUGCUUGGUACACAGAAGAUACUCAGAAUGUAUCUGCUGAACAAACAUAUGAAUUGGUGUCAGGUCUCCAGUGUGUGUGGAUACAAGACAGGUGGUGAGGAGGAAAGAGAGCUGGGCCUCUCCCUGUCUCCCCCACCCACGUGCAUGGCUCGAGUUCCCUGGAAGGGCUGGGAAUUCUGUCUUCUGCAGGUCAUAAAGCUUGGGGGGCUCAGGCCCAGAGAUUCCUACCUAGGUUAUGGUGAGAACGUAAAUGCCUGCAUCGCCUGACUGGGGCUUCUCUGAUCAGCGGGCUCUGGGAUUGAGUAGGAGAUGCAGAAUACCUUGAGAGUUUCAGAGCAUGAAUCGGUUAGAAACAUCUCUCCUGCGAUUUUCACCUCUCCAAGUUUUGGCUGUCAGUGUGAGAGCCUUCAGCUCUGCUAUCCUUCAUCUGAUCUCAGAAUACAGCAUCCCAUUUAGGGAGGAAGGGGAAUGGCCUGUGUGGGCAGUGCCAUGGAGAACAUGGGUUUCCGUCCGCUCACUGUUGCCCUGGACCCAGCUUGUCAAGGAACAACUCAGAAGCAUCAGAGAAGAGGACGCAGAAGAGAAGGAGGCUGGAAGGGCCCUGGGCAAGGGCUUCGUGUAUGAGAAGAAGCAGGCAGAAGGCAAUUGCCCUGAGGAUGACAUCAGCCCCCUCAGGCAGCCUGGCGCCGUCCUGCCCCAGUCUCCAGGAGUCCUGCAAGCAGGGGUCUGGGAGCGGGGUGCCUGGGUCUGCGCCCCUCUGCUGUCAGCAGCCCGCUGGCUUCUGCACUGGUGUCUGGGAGGAAAUGAGCUCCUCCUUACAUCAGACUAUUUGCCAGCUUCCUGAACCACUAAGAAUGCCGGGGGAGGAGGGAAUGAAUAUUUUAUAAAGGACCAUAAAACAUAAUUUGGUCCUUUGAGUGAUUUAGAAACUGUAGUUAAAAAAGAGAGAAGUUACCGUCAUUGGACCAGGAGUUUCGCAUUAUUUAGCCUUGGCUGUUCUACAACAUCAGGAGUGCAGGAGAACCGGCACAUCAGCAUCAAGCUCUUCCUCCUCAGGAAGGUAAAGGGCUGGGCAGAGGCCCAGACGCAGCAGCUGGGAGCCCUGCUGAAGGCCAUGUGCCCUGCCCUGCGUGCGCUGACUGGG